GCUGGCGGCGUGCCUAACACAUGCAAGUCGAACGAGAAAGUGGAGCAAUCCAUGAGUAAAGUGGCGACCGGGUGAGUAACACGUGACUAACCUACCUCCGAGUGGGGAAUAACUCCGGGAAACCGGGGCUAAUACCGCAUAACAUCGCAAGAUCAAAGCAGCAAUGCGCUGGGAGAGGGGGUCGCGGCUGAUUAGCUAGUUGGCGGGGUAACGGCCCACCAAGGCGAAGAUCGGUAUCCGGCCUGAGAGGGCGCACGGACACACUGGAACUGAAACACGGUCCAGACUCCUACGGGAGGCAGCAGUGGGGAAUUUUGCGCAAUGGGGGAAACCCUGACGCAGCAACGCCGCGUGGAGGAUGAAGCCCUUUGGGGCGUAAACUCCUUUCGACUCGGACGAUGAUGACGGUACUAGUGGAAGAAGCACCGGCUAACUCUGUGCCAGCAGCCGCGGUAAUACAGAGGGUGCGAGCGUNGUUCGGAAUUAUUGGGCGUAAAGGGCGCGUAGGCGGUGCGGUAAGUCACCUGUGA
rnacentral:rRNA from 1 species